UACGUAGGGACCAAGCGUUGUUCGGAUUUACUGGGCGUAAAGGGCGCGUAGGCGGCGCGGUAAGUCACUUGUGAAAUCUCUGAGCUUAACUCAGAACGGCCAAGUGAUACUGCAGUGCUAGAGUGUGGAAGGGGCAAUCGGAAUUCUUGGUGUAGCGGUGAAAUGCGUAGAUAUCAAGAGGAACACCUGAGGUGAAGACGGGUUGCUGGGCCAACACUGACGCUGAGGCGCGAAAGCCAGGGGAGCAGACGGG
rnacentral:rRNA from 1 species